rnacentral:lncRNA from 1 species
GAUGAUUGAAUGUUGUUUGCUUUGGUGUUACCACCCGAAAAUAAUUUUCUAGUUCCGCCCCUGAAAUGUACUCAGCCACUUCUGAGGUCAGGAGCUUUUGUUGUGGCUUGCAGGAUUAGUUAUUUAAAGCCUCAGUCUGUGGAAAUUUCCCAUGGCAUUCCGCGCACGCUCAAUCAAAGCUUUAAUAGCCUACGCAACCGAGGUAACGGAACAGAGGGGCAGACAGAGUCAGUACAGCAUCAGUAUCCACCGGGAAUGCGACCUGAUCACUGCCACAACACGAUCUCUAUAGGGGCCAGCACGAGCACACACUCAUGGAGCCAGAGUUUCAAACGCAGCAGAUCCAACAGAUCACUGGAUAAGACACGCGGCGCCACUUCGUUUCUCUACAGUCCUCUAGAUUGGGUAAACCAUGGGUAAGAAAGUCUUGCAGUGUUUUCCUUGGUACAAACGCUGUAAAGACCUGGGUAAAAGCAGGCUGUGCCCUCCUCCACCUGGUAAGUCUCCUUGUUUACCCAAUUUUGUCCUGAUAUGUUGAUAAUUAAAUUAUAAAUCAAACUAUCUUUCAGUACCCGACAUUAAUUUCCUCUCUCUCUCUCUCUCUCUGCAUUCACAGUGCCAUCUGUUGAGGUGCAACCUGGCUUCUCUCCGACAGUCUCCUGGGGUUACGACGGAGAGGAAAGCGCCACACGUCCUGUCUAUUUUUCCCAUAAAGCACGAGUAGUUUAUCGCCACCAGAUGGAAGGCAAUAUUAUUGACGCCACCUGCUGACCUCUGGGCUUCUUUCCCAGAAUCUCUUGCCUUGUACCUGGCUGUAGACGUCCAGUGUAGAGGAGCGUUGUAGGAGCCUGUUCCAUCAUGUGUAAUCAAACUAAAUAUUUUGUAUUUAGUAAAGAUGUCACAGUGUUUCCUCUGGUUGCUCCACCCUCUUGCCAGACCAUUCACCUGUCUUGUUCUUACUGUGUUGAAAUAUAAUAUAAUGUUUCAAGGGAGACAGAGUGUGCAGGCCACAUGGAAUGGAAAAACAGGAACUGAGCUGGAUUUUUUAAAUACAAAUGUAAUGUAUAUGUGUUUUGUCGCGCAAAUCUGAUCCUGGAUGUAUGAUUGCCUGUUGUUUUUCAGACGACAAACCACAGUUGGUUUUUCAGAGGUUUAUGAAUGCAUUUCAGACAAAAGAAAACAUUUUGUACUAAUGACUGGAAUUAUAAUAUAAAAUGUAUGUACAUUUAGUAAUUAUCGUGAUAUAUUUUGAGUAUAAAAAGUAGUUUGAGUAUUGAAUAAAAUUGUUUAAAUAUAUAAACAUGUUUAUUUUUAAUAUUUGUCUCAUUUAAAUGUGAUGAAAUGUGUGUAAUUGUCAUACAAAACAAUUCCCUAUUUGUACAAAAAGGCUUUAUUUUCUUUGUGCAAAAUAUAAAUUCUUAUUUAUUUUGGCUUGGGAGCAAAAUAUGAACUAGACAUGUUAUUGACAGACUUCCCCACUAUUUAAUUUUCAGUUUGAGGGUGUUUUGCUACAUAAAUAGAUAUGCAAAGGACUAAAUCAGCCAUAUAAUUCAACUUUAAGACUAAUUAGGGCAAAAUAAAAGGCAGCUAUGGUGUACCCAUCUAUAAUAUGUCAUGUAAAAUAGCAAGUUUGAUAACAUACGAAAAUCUCACCAAACAAAAUCAUCUGUUUUUAUAUUGUACUAAUGAAAUUAUUAAAUUAUAUUAUCUGGAACAUGUUUAAUUUGUAUAACAUAUUUUUUUCUACCC